rnacentral:rRNA from 1 species
GGAAGCAACCGACUUGUUGUUAACUCCGACAAUAUGGAAGUAAUUGACACGAUGAAGAAUGAAGGACAUACAACGGGAGCGGCGACGGCUGUGUUUGAUGAUUGUUAUUUUAUGGCUUGUGAUUUUUCGUUAGUUAGAUUUGAACAUUGUAAUAGGAAGGCAAAUAAAGUAGCUCAUGAAAUUGUUAGAGUAGCUAAAUUUUCUGAGACAAGGGAUUGGUUUGAGGAACCUUUGAACGAUAUUGUAAAUUUACUUAUAGACGAUGUAACCAUUAUUACUAAUAAAUAA